AAUAUGAUUCCCUCCCUAACUCAUUCUCUCAAUAUAUAUAUAUACACCAGGGAUCAGAGACGGCCGUCCGUAUCAUGCGGCCGUCGACGGUAAGGUUACCUCCACCUCUAACUUACAACUGUGAUUUGUGAAAACUAAGGGCAAACAUGAAACCUCCACCUCCACCAUUUGCCGAUGGUUCUAUAAAACUAUCUGAUUUCAUGUUGCAGUUCCAAGCUGUGAACGAUCGGUGACAUUUGGAAUUUCAGAGCGGAGAUGGCGUGUUUGUCCCCUUUUCUACCGAUGAAAUCGAAAACCUCGUCUUUCUUUCGUCGGUAUACUGGAACGCCGUUCGAUCAGCAGAGACUCUCGAUCUGAUCGUCCAAAGCUACGACGAGGUAAUUCCAGAUUCCGAUUCUUUUGAUGUUCUCGUAAAAGAACGAUAAGGUACCCUUUACAUUUGAAUUUGCCAGUGUCACCAUCACUUCUUUUUCGACAGAUAUCUCCCGGAGCAACUUCGAUAAUAUUGGAUUCACAUAUUCGUCGGGGACGACGGUUGGAUUCUUUUGUAACGACUUCACUUUGCCGUAAGGACCUGCUUUUGGACCCUUGUCGGAGAAAACCAACAGCUGUUUUUCCGCCUCGUCUUUGCUUUCCACCAAAGCACGUAACUUCAAAUUCAGCUCCGAUGCUUGCUUCUUUAAUCCUGCAUUUUUCUCAGACAGCGCUGCUAUCUGCGACCUUAAAUCCGCGACAUUUGCAACCGAUUCACACGAAGAUCGAUCCACGACCUAAAUUACAGAAAUCGAUAAAAUCGCGUGCGAUUUUCGUGGAUCAAAUCGAAAAGGAAGAAGAAGAAAAGUGAAAAUUCAUACCAGAGAAGAUCGAACAUUGCGGGCAGUCUGUAGAACUUUGCCGUCGAUGUAGAAUAGCCCGUCGGGAUAUAGAUAGGCGAGAACACACCCGAUCUGAACACCGAUCACGAUCGCCUUGGUGACUCUGAAUCGGAGUGAUGUAGACAGAGUUCCGAGUUGUGAUCGCGGAACACUUUUAUGUUACGAUCGCUGAACCGAUCGUAGACAGAGUUCCGAGCCCCGGAACCGAUUGCAGUUCAACGGAGCCACUCUUUCACUUUUGGACGAUCGGUGAUGUUGCAGUUCCGUCUCCAAAAGUGUCGGUGAUGGACCUUACUGCUCGGAACUGCAACCCGUCGCGAAACAUCCGCUGGUCAUCGCGAUUGCAGUUCACCCGAGGAACACCCGCUGGUCAUCGUGAACUGUAACACAUCGGGAUUCGAACGGACGGCCGGAUUGGAGAUCCGCAAAAGCGACCGUCCGAACAAGGGGCCGUCCCAGAAUCGCGC
rnacentral:lncRNA from 1 species